rnacentral:rRNA from 1 species
UUCCGGUUGAUCCUGCCAGACCCCACUGCUAUCGGGAUAGGACUAAGACAUGCUAGUUGAGCGCUUCCAGCCAAAACGGGAGCGCAGCGCACAGCUCAGUAACACGUGGCUAAUCUGCCCUUGGGACCGGAACACCCCCGGGAAACUGGGGCUAAUUCUCGAUAGGUGAAGAACUCUGGAAUGAGUCUUUGCCAAAAAGACGUUUACGUUAUGCUCGUAGGCGUCGCCCAAGGAUGAGGCCGCGACCGAUCAGGUUGUUGGUGAGGUAAUGGCUCACCAAGCCUUUUACCGGUGCGGGCCGUGAGAGCGGGAGCCCGGAGAUGGGCACUGAGACAAGGGCCCAGGCCCUACGGGGCGCAGCAGUCGCGAAAACUUUGCAAUACACGAAAGUGUGACAGGGCUAUCCCGAGUGCCAUCUGCUGAGGAAGGCUUUUACCCAGUCUAGAACGCUGGGGGAAUAAGGAGAGGGCAAGUCUGGUGUCAGCCGCCGCGGUAAUACCAGCUCUCCGAGUGGUGUGGAUGUUUAUUGGGCCUAAAGCAUCCGUAGCUGGCUGAGUUAGUCCCUUGUUAAAUCCACCGAAUUAAUCGUUGGAUUGCGGGGGAUACUGCUCGGCUAGGGGACGAGAGAGGCAGACGGUAUUUCUGGGGUAGGGGUGAAAUCCUAUAAUCCCAGGAGGACCACCAGUGGCGAAGGCUGUCUGCUAGAACGCGCCCGACGGUGAGGGAUGAAAGCUGGGGGAGCGAACCGGAUUAGAUACCCGGGUAGUCCCAGCUGUAAACGAUGCAGACUAGGUGUUUGGACGGCUACGUGCCGUUCUAGUGCCGCAGGGAAGCUGUUAAGUCUGCCGCCUGGGGAGUACGACCGCAAGAUUGAAACUUAAAGGAAUUGGCGGGGGAGCACCACAAGGGGUGAAGCUUGCGGUUUAAUUGGAUUCAACGCCGGG